CUACUACUCCUUCCAUCCGAAAAUACUUGUCAUUGAAAUGGAUGUAUCUAGAUGUAUUUUAGUUCUAGACACAUCCAUUUUGAUGAAAAGUAAUUCCGGACGGAGGGAGUAUUAU
rnacentral:pre_miRNA from 1 species